CAAAACCAAUUUCUCUCAACAAAACUCAUCCCGAUCCAUAUUAGGCAGUCCAGUGGAUCGGAUACUGGUGGUAAAAACAAACAAAAAAAACUCAUCAACUUAUCAAUAUCAAUGGCUUUCUCCAAAUCCUUCAUCUUUUCUUUACUUUUGGUUGUAACAAUGACAAGCAUGAACAUCGAAGCUCGUCAUCUUCUUCAAACAACCACACUUCCACAUCCUACCAUUCCAGCAUCUUUUCCAGAUUUGGAUGUAAUGCCAUCAUUGCCCAAAGGAAGUCUUCCACCAUUGGACAAUUCCAUCCCAUCUCUUCCUAAGCACAUCAUGCCAUUUCCCUUUCCUUCGGUUGAUCCAACUAUCGAU